rnacentral:lncRNA from 10 species
GGUAGUUUUAUGAAACAGUAUAUAGAAAAGGGAAUAUAAUUUUCAUUGAUUCAUGUACUCUCAGAUGCUCCACAGCAGAAGGCUUUAGAGGACUCAACAGAUUGCUCCCUAAUCAUCCAAAUCCAGGCAUUUUCUCAUGAAUAAAAGUUUGUAAUAUUUUCAAACUAUUUAGAGAUUGGCAGCUGGAUACACUAUUAAUUCCUUUUGGAGCAUCCCACUUAAGAUGGGCUUUAAUGCAUGCAGCAAAUUGUAGCUCUAUGUGGUACAGAACUGAGGUACUGGUGGAGAGAGAGAGAAAUAGGAGGCACUGCCUUGAUAGAUUUAAAUAGGCAACUACAGACCAUCUCCAUAAAGUUAAUUGAAGCAAUACUUGAGAAAUUGAUUACUACCUAUAUGCAAAAAUAAUCUAGUGACAGGAAGCUUUAAAACUGAGGUAAUUAAAACAAGUAUUUGUGCUUUCUACAAUCAUGAAGAAAAAAAAAGUUCCAAAAGGAAAAAACAAACAAACAAACAAACAAAAAACAGCCCAGGGCCACACAGAUCCAUAGCUUAAUUUUACCAGACUUAACAAGGAAAAGCUGGUACCAAUCUUAUUGAAACUAUUCCAAGAAACUGAGUAGGAGGGAUUCCUCCCUAACUCAUUCUAUGAAACUGCCAUGCAUUUCAGCUUCUCCAUAUUUAUAUUUUUAUUUAAGCAACACUUCUUUAAAAAGUGGUCAUUAGAUGAAAAGUCACAUGGAAUAAAGACAAUGUACAUCAGCCCUCAUCUUCAGUGAAAUAGGGAACUCCAGCCAUCCUGCUGUUCUCCAGGACCAUAUAACAAUAUUAGAGUUAUGAAACUAUUUAUUAGUAUUUUAUUCAUUCCAUGUUCGCAUUAUUUUCAUACAGUGCACCCAGGUCCACACUGGUGAUCAAAGAGAUCUGCUGUUGUCCUUAGGCCAUGGGUGCUGAGAGACGAUGGGCUAAUACCAUGAAAAUCCAUGGACCUACUCAUAUACUUGUUGAAUACACAAGACAUGUUAAAACUUCUUGUCACUCAUCUCUUUGUCUUUUUUCAUCAACAGUUGCCAACAGUAGUUACAGUUAGUCAUAGAAUAAAAAGAAAAAAGGAAGAAAAAGGAAGUGUGACAAAAGAGGAACUGACAGCACUGGGAGUCGGGAAUAGCUAUAGUCUAGGAAAAUGAUUCCUGGUAGCAACUCAAGUAACACUUAAAUUGCUGUCUCUCAAAAUCUUUCCAUGACUGCCAAAAUCCUUAAAAGACCUUCUGGGAUUCCUGCUCCCCUUGCCUUACCACACUGAUUCACAUCAGCCCCUCUCUUCUUUCUUUCUUAAAUGUAACAGGUCGGCUUCUUAGCGUAUUUGGACCUGAUGUUCUAUCUGCUUUUCCCUAUAUGACUUACUCCUUAUUUUUCUCCGUCUUUAUUUAGUGCCACCUUCUCAAUGCUACCCAACUUGACCACCAAAAUAUAAAUAAAAAAAUCCCUUCUAUAGUGCAUUUUUUUCCUUUUUCCUAUACUCUCCCCCCUCUCUUUUUUUCCCAUAGCAUUCAGUACCUACUAAUAAAGCAUGAGAUCUACUCAUUAGUUAUUUUUGUAUAUAAUGUGUUUCCUCUGGGAAAAGGAGAUUUUUCAGCUGAAGGAAGGUGAGGAUUCUUUCCUGUUUUUACUACUCAUGCAUGCCAAGGGCCAAAGGCAUUAUUGAGCAUAUAGUGAGUGUUCAAUAGAUAUUUAUUGAAGAUCACAACAGAAUGGAAUGUUACAUGUGAGAAGGUACAGAGAAGUAGCCAUCUGACUAUCUAGAAACUUGAAGUGGUUCAGAACUUCUAGAAUCUUUAAGCUUGAAUGUUAAUAUCAGAGAAAUACCAUUCUAAAGACUUUGCAAAGGCUAUUUUGACCUGAUGCUAAAUAUAAGGAAUACAUUUAUCUUGAGCAAAUAGGAUAGAAAAACCUA